AGCGAACGCUGGCGGCAGGCCUAACACAUGCAAGUCGAACGAACUCUUCGGAGUUAGUGGCGGACGGGUGAGUAACACGUGGGAACGUGCCUUUUGGUUCGGAAUAACUCAGGGAAACUUGUGCUAAUACCGAAUGUGCCCUUCGGGGGAAAGAUUUAUCGCCAUUAGAGCGGCCCGCGUCUGAUUAGCUAGUUGGUGAGGUAACGGCUCACCAAGGCGACGAUCAGUAGCUGGUCUGAGAGGAUGACCAGCCACACUGGGACUGAGACACGGCCCAGACUCCUACGGGAGGCAGCAGUGGGGAACCUUGCGCAAUGGGCGAAAGCCUGACGCAGCCAUGCCGCGUGAAUGAUGAAGGUCUUAGGAUUGUAAAAUUCUUUCACCGGGGACGAUAAUGACGGUACCCGGAGAAGAAGCCCCGGCUAACUUCGUG
rnacentral:rRNA from 1 species